GAUGAACGCUGGCGGCGUGCCUAAUACAUGCAAGUCGAGCGAACGGACGAGAAGCUUGCUUCUCUGAUGUUAGCGGCGGACGGGUGAGUAACACGUGGAUAACCUACCUAUAAGACUGGGAUAACUUCGGGAAACCGGAGCUAAUACCGGAUAAUAUUUUGAACCGCAUGGUUCAAAAGUGAAAGACGGUCUUGCUGUCACUUAUAGAUGGAUCCGCGCUGCAUUAGCUAGUUGGUAAGGUAACGGCUUACCAAGGCAACGAUGCAUAGCCGACCUGAGAGGGUGAUCGGCCACACUGGACCUGAGACACGGUCCAGACUCCUACGGGAGGCAGCGGUAGGGAAUCUUCCGCAAUGGGCGAAAGCCUGCCGGAGCAACGCCGCGUGAGUGAUGAAGGUCUUCGGCUCGUAAAACUCUGUUAUUAGGGAAGAACAUAUGUGUAAGUAACUGUGCACAUCUUGACGGUACCUAAUCAGAAAGCCACGGCUAACUACGU
rnacentral:rRNA from 1 species